AAUCUUCACAAUGUGCGAAAGCACGAUGAGGGGAUCCCAAGUGCUGGCACGUAAGUGUCAGCUGUUUCUUAGUCUAAAAAACUGAGAGAGUAAGGGCUGGGUAAGACGGGUGCCAGCCGCCGCGGUAAUACCUGCAGCUCAAGUGGUGGCCGCUAUUAUUGGGCCUAAAACGUCCGUAGCCUGUUUAGUAAAUGCUUGGGUAAAUUGUGUAGCUUAACUAUACGAAUACCGGGUAGACUGCUAAACUUGGGACCGGGAGAGGCUAGAGGUACUCCUGGGGUAGAGGUGAAAUUCUGUAAUCCUAGGGGGACCACCAGUGGCGAAGGCGUCUAGCUAGAACGGGUCUGACGGUGAGGGACGAAGCCCUGGGGCGCAAACCGGAUUAGAUACCCGGGUAGUCCAGGGUGUAAACGCUGCUUGCUUGAUGUUAGUUGGGCUCCGAGCCCAACUAGUGUCGGAGAGAAGUUGUUAAGCAAGCUGCCUGGAAGUACGUCGCAAGACU
rnacentral:rRNA from 1 species